rnacentral:lncRNA from 10 species
AGCAGAUUCAUUUUAAGGAUGAGGACAAGUUAGACAGGUUUGUAAGCUAAAAGAGAACAGCCACGACAGAGGAUACAGUGAAGAUUCAAAAAACGGUGGUGAAUAUUGAAAAGGCGUUGGAGGACACAUAAUAGAAUGCAAAGUCCACAAGGAGAGGGGCUUUGUGUCUUGUUUCACACUGUGUCCCCAGGCUUAGAAUAUUCUGGCAUCAGAAGGCACUCAGUAAACAUAGAGAGGAAGAAAGGAAGAAGAUGAAAUCAGGAGUACAGAUUAAAGUGUUAUCUUUGGAAGACAGGCAAGACAUCCUUUGGGACAGAAGGGAAGGAGAGAAAGCUGGGGAACAUGCAGAUAAUACAAGAGGUGCGGUUUGUGACUGAUGGCUGCUAUUUUCUCUGUGAGACUGAAUCCAGACAACUUUGGACAUUCCUUCAUUUGAAGAAUUUUUACUGAACAAUUACAGACCAUUGAUUGAUACAGUGAAGAUCAGAAUGGCAUAGUUUUCCUGUCUUCAUGGAGAUGAAUGAAUGAACUGUAUUUUUUAUUAGCCUAAGCAUGAAUUCUUCCCAAAUUUCCUCCAUGAACCAUAGGAUCCUACCUCUUAACCAUUUUAUGAAAAUUCUAUGGUGAAUUGAGGUCCUCAAGUUGUCUGACAAUAUCUGAUUUUGCCACGGUCAUGUGGGAAAAGUAGGCAUGUGAGCAAGUCAUAGUUUUACUUGUUUGGAAGAUUCUUCUAAUUAUGUCAAGAUGAAAGGUUUUAUACUGUGUAGAAGGCAGUGUGAGAGAAGUGGACAGUAGAACUCCUAUUUGGUGGGCCAGUGGCUAUAUUUUAAAAUAUGAAGGAUACAUAUUUGACUGUUUAAGUACAAUGAUCUGCCAUGGAUGAAUCUUACCCUUAAGCAUACACUUCUCCCCACUCUCAAUAUACAGUGGCUCUGGAAUUCAUGCUUCACUUGGGAGUUGAAAGUUUGCGUUUAUAAUUUUAUAUUCUUAUUACAGGCCAGGCUAUUGAGAUUAGAAAGUCUUUAUUUUUCAGUUGGAGUGUGAUGAGCCAUAUUCCCUAUUGUAAACAGCCAUAUUAACCAAGAUAAUUUAAUUUGGAAUGAUUGCUUUUUGCCUUUGAGCUGUAGAUCAAAAGGUU